AAAUUGAAGAGUUUGAUCAUGGCUCAGAUUGAACGCUGGCGGCAGGCCUAACACAUGCAAGUCGAGCGGUAGCACAGAGAGCUUGCUCUCGGGUGACGAGCGGCGGACGGGUGAGUAAUGUCUGGGAAACUGCCUGAUGGAGGGGGAUAACUACUGGAAACGGUAGCUAAUACCGCAUAACGUCGCAAGACCAAAGUGGGGGACCUUCGGGCCUCAUGCCAUCAGAUGUGCCCAGAUGGGAUUAGCUAGUAGGUGGGGUAAUGGCUCACCUAGGCGACGAUCCCUAGCUGGUCUGAGAGGAUGACCAGCCACACUGGAACUGAGACACGGUCCAGACUCCUACGGGAGGCAGCAGUGGGGAAUAUUGCACAAUGGGCGCAAGCCUGAUGCAGCCAUGCCGCGUGUAUGAAGAAGGCCUUCGGGUUGUAAAGUACUUUCAGCGAGGAGGAAGGCGUUAAGGUUAAUAACCUUGGCGAUUGACGUUACUCGCAGAAGAAGCACCGGCUAACUCCGUGCCAGCAGCCGCGGUAAUACGGAGGGUGCAAGCGUUAAUCGGAAUUACUGGGCGUAAAGCGCACGCAGGCGGUCUGUCAAGUCGGAUGUGAAAUCCCGGGCUCAACCUGGGAACUGCAUUCGAAACUGGCAGGCUAGAGUCUUGUAGAGGGGGUAGAAUUCCAGGUGUAGCGGUGAAAUGCGUAGAGAUCUGGAGGAAUACCGGUGGCGAAGGCGGCCCCCUGGACAAAGACUGACGCUCAGGUGCGAAAGCGUGGGGAGCAAACAGGAUUAGAUACCCUGGUAGUCCACGCCGUAAACGAUGUCGACUUGGAGGUUGUGCCCUUGAGGCGUGGCUUCCGGAGCUAACGCGUUAAGUCGACCGCCUGGGGAGUACGGCCGCAAGGUUAAAACUCAAAUGAAUUGACGGGGGCCCGCACAAGCGGUGGAGCAUGUGGUUUAAUUCGAUGCAACGCGAAGAACCUUACCUACUCUUGACAUCCAGAGAACUUAGCAGAGAUGCUUUGGUGCCUUCGGGAACUCUGAGACAGGUGCUGCAUGGCUGUCGUCAGCUCGUGUUGUGAAAUGUUGGGUUAAGUCCCGCAACGAGCGCAACCCUUAUCCUUUGUUGCCAGCGGUCCGGCCGGGAACUCAAAGGAGACUGCCAGUGAUAAACUGGAGGAAGGUGGGGAUGACGUCAAGUCAUCAUGGCCCUUACGAGUAGGGCUACACACGUGCUACAAUGGCAUAUACAAAGAGAAGCGACCUCGCGAGAGCAAGCGGACCUCAUAAAGUAUGUCGUAGUCCGGAUUGGAGUCUGCAACUCGACUCCAUGAAGUCGGAAUCGCUAGUAAUCGUAGAUCAGAAUGCUACGGUGAAUACGUUCCCGGGCCUUGUACACACCGCCCGUCACACCAUGGGAGUGGGUUGCAAAAGAAGUAGGUAGCUUAACCUUCGGGAGGGCGCUUACCACUUUGUGAUUCAUGACUGGGGUGAAGUCGUAACAAGGUAACCGUAGGGGAACCUGCGGUUGGAUCACCUCCUUACCUUAAAGAA
rnacentral:rRNA from 1 species